AAAUAAUCCUCUAAAAUUCAAUAUAUUCGAAGUUAAUGAAUAUACGUUGAUCGAGACGAAAAUUCAUUAUGUCAAAAAUAAUUACAUUACUACUAAUUAUCUCAUUUAUUGGCGUGUUUGUUAGUUUUGUUGAAGGGUGCCAAGGCGGUUGGUGCCAUCCGAAACAAGGUUAUGGGUGUUGUCAAGGACAUGAAUGUUCCUCAUAUAUGCUUCAAGGAACAUGCAUGACUGAAGAGGAGGUACGAAAGCACGAACAAGCAAGUCUCAUCAUUCAACUCGGAAAAAAAUAGAAAUUUAACAUGAUACAAUCAAACAGUACUUUUAUUACAUUGUUUUUUGGAAUAAUUUGUUCAGCUUCAAAUAAUUUUUGUGCGGAAAAAAUUGUAAUCUCAACUGAAAAUUAA